AGAUGAAGUAAAAUUAUUAAGCUGCGCAGGAAUGAAAGCAAGAAGAGUUACUAAAGCUACGCUGCAUAAUUUUCUAAGCGGUGCUGCGGGAUAUCUAAGCUGGUCUUCAACACAGGAACUCUACAUCCCAGCACAGGAUGUCUAAGCCGUAAUGUAACAAAGGUAACCCACUAACUAGUGGUGAUCCAGGUACUUCGCAGAACUAUAAUUUCUCACUACAUGAUCUUAAGGUGUCUCAUCGAAGCAUGUAAGUAUGAAACAUGAUGUUAAGUUACUUCACCAAAGCAUGUAAGUAUGAAACAUGAUCUUAAGUUAUUUCAUCGAAGCAUGUAAGCAUGAUUGGGAUUUGGAAAAUGUUAUACUUUACCACUUGAGAAAAAUCAUGAUUUAUAUUAUCUCUUGAAGGGAUUUGGGAAUUUGAUAUUAUGUCUUGGAAGCUGCACACCUUCUGCAUAUAUGCCUAGGUCUGAAAUAUGAAUUGACUAAGUAUACGAAGCUGCACACCUUCUGCAUAUGUGCUAGGGCUGGGAACAUAAUUUGGAUAACAUAUUUUGGGACCAUAGAGUCAUACUAGCCCUAUCACUAGCAUCACAAGUAGGAACACCAAUCACAAGCAUACACAUAACAUGUUUUGUUGAAUCAUGCACAUGUUACUAAGAGGGAGGGAGUAGGGUAUAUGUUGCCAUCUGUAUUUUUCUUGAAAUUUUACAGCACAUCAGUAAUGAUUAACAAUGCUGGAAAACCUGCUUCGGCAGAAAAUGAGCUUUAGUGGCAAUUCAGUCACGCUUCGGAGGGAAAAGCCUUAAGUAGAAUUUGGGUCUUCUCAGCGCAGUCAGGAUAUUUAUCUCAGCUACCUCUGCGCAGUUAUCUCAGCGCAGCUAUCUCAGUUAUCAGCUAUCUCAGACUAGCUACCUCAGGGCAGCUACCUCAGCGCAGCUAUCUCAGCACAGUCAGGGCAGCUAUCUCAGCUAUCUCAGAGCAGCUAUCUAGUUAUCUCAGCUACCUCAGGGCAGCUACCUCAGCGCAGUUAUCUCAGCGCAGUCAGGACAUUUAUCUCAGCGCAGCUAUCUCAGUUAUCUCAGUAGUUUUCAGCGCAGAAUGUCCGAGCCGUUGUCAGUUCAGAAUGUCUAUGCUCCGCGCAGGAAUAUCGUAAGCCGCGAAAGUUAGACAGGGUUCUUUGAUUGUCUAUGCUCCGCGCAGGAAUAUCGUAAGCCGCGAAAGUUAGACAGGGGUGUACCAUCUUAAGGGCCGCGUUGCGGAAGUGUACCAUCUUAAGGGCCGCGCUGCGGAAGUGUACCAUCUUAAGGGCCGCGUUGCGGAAGUGUACCAUCUUAAGGGCCGCGUUGCGGAAGUGUACCAUCUUAAGGGCCGCGCUGCG
rnacentral:lncRNA from 1 species